UACAGAGGUCUCAAGCGUUGUUCGGAUUCAUUGGGCGUAAAGGGUGCGUAGGCGGCGCGGUAAGUCGGGUGUGAAAUCUCGGAGCUUAACUCCGAAACUGCAUUCGAUACUGCCGUGCUUGAGGACUGGAGAGGAGACUGGAAUUUACGGUGUAGCGGUGAAAUGCGUAGAUAUCUGAAGGAACACCAGUGGCGAAAGCGGCUUCCUGGUCCAGUACCGACGUUCAGGCACGAAAGCGUGGGGAGCAAACAGG
rnacentral:rRNA from 1 species